CAAAUUAUUUAGAAAGAUUUUUUUAUUUACAAUAAAUUAAAUAGUUGUUUAAUUCAACUUAAUUUGA
rnacentral:tRNA from 1 species